GGUUGUUUAGCUGUGAGGUUGGUUGUUUUGGUUUAUUUGCCUUUUGCAUCAUGCUUGACGGAAUUUUUUAAAGUAUGUUUUUGUACCGAAAAGUUUUGAUUUUGAGUUUAAUUGUUUGGGAUUUUUGUGAGGCCUGGGUAAGGUUUUGUAAAUUAAAUUUAUGGUGUGAUAAGUAAGUCGUAUAACUUUAUAGCUGUUUAGUUGUUGAUUGUUUAGUAUUAUAUAUGUGGCGAUUAGGUCGUUUAUAUUUUUAUACAUUUGGUUUUUAUAUGUGUUGUUUGAUGAGGUUAGAGGUACCUAGUCUUUAUUAGAUUGUUGUAAAUAUGGUUUAUUGGUUUGGUUAUGUGUUAAUCGUUUUUGACAACUAUUUUAUUAUAUUUGGUUAUUGUAUUAUCGUUGAAUUAGUAAUUUUAUUAUGCUAUUUUUUUCUUGAGUUCUUUCCGUCUGUUUAUUAAAAACAUUUCUAACUUGAAUUAUAGUUGGUAGUGCCUGCCCAAUGUUGGUUUAUCAAUGGCCGCAGUAUAUUGACUGUGCGAAGGUAGCAUAAUUAAUUGCCUUUUAAUUGGAGGCUUGUUUGAAUGGUUUGACGUGAUUGGUAUGAAGAUUUAGUAUUUAGUUGAAAUUGAUUUUGAGGGUUUAGAAUCCUUGAUGGUUAAUAAGACGGAAAGACCCUAGGAUCUUUUGUUUUUGUUUGGGGCAAAUUUUGGUGUUUUAUGAAGAUUGUGACCCUGGAUAGUGAUUGGUUUAUUGGGUUAAGUUACCCUAGGGAUAACAGUGUGAUGAUUAAUUAGAGGUCUUAUCGAAUUAAUUGUUUGCCACCUCGAUGUUGACUUAGGUUUAGGUUCCGGUGUAGUAGUUGGGAUUUUUGGUCUGUUCGACCUUUUAGCCUCCAUGAGUUGAGUUAAGACCGGCGUGAGCCAGGUCGGUUCUUAUCUAUUGUAGAAGUUUAUCAGUACGAAAGGACAGUAAAUUUUUUUGUU
rnacentral:rRNA from 1 species